UUUGGCUCAGGACGAACGCUGGCGGCAUGCUUUACACAUGCAGUCGAGCGGCAGCGCGGGGCAACCUGGCGGCGAGCGGCGAACGGGUGAGUAAUACAUCGGAACGUGCCCAGACGUGGGGGAUAGCCCGGCGAAAGCCGGAUUAAUACCGCAUACGAUCUAAGGAUGAAAGCGGGGGAUCGCAAGACCUCGCGCGUUUGGAGCGGCCGAUGGCAGAUUAGGUAGUUGGUGGGGUAAAAGCUUACCAAGCCUACGAUCUGUAGCUGGUCUGAGAGGACGACCAGCCACACCUGGGACUGAGACACGGCCCAGACUCCUACGGGAGGCAGCAGUAGGA
rnacentral:rRNA from 1 species